GUGCCCGCUUCAGCAGCACAUACUCUAAAAUUGGAAUGAUACAGAGAAGAUUAGCAUGGCCCCUGCACAAGGACAGCGUGCAAAUUCCUGAGACGCUCCAUAACUUU